GCAACUGCUGGCACAAAAUUAGUUAUUAAUUUAAAUAUUACUAAAUAUUAAUUUCUUAAAUUUUUAAUUUUAAUUACUAAUUAAUUUCAAUUUAAAUAUUAUUAAAAUAAUUAAAAAUUAAUACUAAAAUUUAUAUGUAAAAUAAAUUUAUAAUAAAUUUUUAAACUAUAAAUAUUUAU
rnacentral:rRNA from 1 species